AUACGGAGGGGGCUAGCGUUGUUCGGAAUUACUGGGCGUAAAGCGUACGUAGGCGGACUGAUCAGUUGGGGGUGAAAUCCCAGGGCUUAACCCUGGAACUGCCUUCAAUGCUGUCAGUCUUGAGUUUGGGAGAGGUGAGUGGAAUUCCUAGUGUAGAGGUGAAAUUCAUAGAUAUUAGGAGGAACACCAGUGGCGAAGGCGGCUCACAGGCCCAUUACUGACGCUGAGGUACGAAAGCGUGGGGAGCAAACAGGAUUAGAUACCCUAGUAGUCC
rnacentral:rRNA from 1 species